UCCACUAUUAGCGAGGCCUAAAGUCUUCACUUCAUCAGUCUAGGAAUAACACUAAAGUAGCACCCCUCACUACAUUCUUGUUCACUGAACAUAGAUCUCUAAAGAACAGUGCACUGGUACACGAUAUGAUCUGUUGUCAUGACCCAUGAACUGAGCUUCUCACUAAUCGAAAUGGUCCUCUCAGCAUGUUUCAAGGGAAGCAAGAGAUCGUUUUCUCAGGAUAUUAGUCACCCAAUCUUCCCAAUAGUAUUCCUUAACUCAUGAAUUGAUACACUUGUUCAUUCUCUUUCUAUUUCCACUAGUUUCUUUUGUUCACUUGCAAUGCGGCAUUUGAAUCCAUUUUACUCCACUUCUCUCUCUUUUCUUCCUGAUGAGGGUGAUGUACUCCGGGUACCUGAUCAUCAUGACUGGAAUUCCAGAGGAUUCCUUGAGUACUCGUUACUUCGAGGUCAAAUGGUGCGAUGGUAUUCAUCCAAAAUAGGAAACUGGUAGCGACUUGCAUUUGAUGGACUCUUCCUUCCUGUAGGAAUAGGGGAGAGUGGUAACGUGAGCCACCUUUCCUUUAUACAGCAGUAAUAGCACAUGCAAGUUCCUAGGGUCUAUAUAGCUAGUCAAGGAUCAUAAAACAAUUAGCAAAUCAUCAUGUGGAAUGAUGUAAACUAGCCUUAAAAAGUGAAAGAAGCCCUCAUACCCACUCCUCUUUCCCCACCAAACCAACAAGUAGUAGGUUGGUGGGCCUCGGUAUCUCUAUUUGCUAAGAUGGAUACCUACACCACUCAAUAGUUCCAAUUCAUUGUUUUUUAUCCCAUAGGAAAGAAAAUGCUUCCAGCAAUUUUUUCCUUUCCUCCUCCGUCAUACUUAGGUCUUCACAACCUUCCACCGGAGGCUUGUAUCUGUUUUCCUCCUCCGUCAUACUUAGGUCUUCACAACCUUCCACCGGAGGCUUGUAUCUGUUUUCCUCCUCUUUAGCCAUUACUUCUUUAAUCAUAUCUUUGAUCUUCUUUAGGGGCAAUUUAAACAUGUUCGCAUCCCGCGGGAAGCGGAAAGCCAGAAAGAGAAUUUCCUCCAGUUUAAGAACCGAAAGGAGUUUAUCCAGACUUGGUACCAAACCCGGGAAAAACCCUAAAUGUUGUCUUAAAAACGCUAUAUAAGCAGGGUUAUAGGAAUCAAUAGAUUCCCCUCCCUCCGCUUCAGAGGAGCAGCUUCUUCUAUGGCUAUGGCCAAAAGGAUCCGGUGCGAUGAGUCUCAUCCGUGUAAUAUUUUGGAAUUCCUCUUCCAACUCGUCCCAGAAUGGGCGUUAUGGCAAAGAACAAGAAGAAAAAGACAGAAGGAAUUUGUCCAAUAGUAACAAAUGGUGCCUCCACAGGUUGAUAUCCGAUCCAACCUAGUAGUGAGCAAUCCGCCAAAAGCAAACAAAAUAUUCC
rnacentral:lncRNA from 1 species